UCCGGUUGAACUCAAUAUCGAGUUUGGAGUUGUUCGUUGUGAGGUUCUCCGAUCGAGUAUUUUGGUCUUCGAAUUUCUUUAUUAUCGACAAGGAUUAGUUUCGUCAAGGUCCAUUUCUUCUAACCGAAUCUUUAAUUUAUUUUGACUUUUUAUUGAUGUUGUUGGUGUGGAUGAUUUAUUUGUUAUGUGUUUGGUUUGAAUCUUCGUUAUUUGUAUUGUGUUUGAUGUUGGUUUCAGAUUAUGAGAUGUGAUUGGAAAAUCGAAGCAUGCAUUAAUCAUGUGGUUUAAAGGGAAUUCGGGGCGCGAGUUAAAAAUUGUUAAAGUGAAUUAGGAUUAAUUUUGAUUUGUUGUUGUUUCGAUUCGUCGUUAUUGUUACUUUCACGGCUAAUUAUCAAUUUCGUGAUAGUAUCAUGAUAAGUCAAGCGGGUAGGCANNNNN
rnacentral:lncRNA from 1 species